rnacentral:rRNA from 1 species
GCCGAUGACCAAAUCACUCCGAGUUGUGCUGAUCUUAUCCCAUCUCAAAAGUUACGCAGGGUUGAGCCACGUGGUACUUGGAUGGGAGACUUCCUGGGUAUAUCGGGUGUUGCAGGCU